CUUAAGGGAAGAAGGAUUGAUUUGGAAUCCUUGUUUAGGAUUUUAGUCUAUCCUGGAAUGGUGUACUGGUUUCAUGGCAUCAUGUUGAAACUCCUUACAUUAUGGACAGACCAGGAAGCAUCUGUGCACAACUGGCUGAAUUGGAGGAAACAGAAGGAGAAAAAGAAAUUCAAAAGAAAAGGCUGCACUUGCAACUGCCAGGGUCCCAACUGCCAGGAGUGUUUGAACACAGCGACAGAGAGCAAACUAGAGCACGCACCCAUGGGUCUGUCUCCUAGAUGGUUCUAGAGCCUGUCAAGUUGACAGUCCAUAUUAACCAUCACAGCAGUUUACCUUCAACACACCCAGGCUGGCCCAGAAGACCUUGAUGUGAAUUCCAUACUCAUGCUCAGAUUGCCAGGAAGCGGCUUCAGUUCUUUUAUGCUUAUAUAUCACCGCAUUCUGUGAUCUUCCAGUUUCUGUGGGGGAAAAGAUGGGUUUCCAAGAUCCCUUUCUGAAUUCUAGAUGGGGGCAGGGCAUUCUCCAGUCGAGCAAGAUGGGUCUUCAUCUGAAAUUGCCUCCAUCUACAAUGGCUCUUUACCUGCCCUCUCCAAUACUUCUCUCCAACUGCUUUAUUUCCUUU